UGCUACAUUCCCACAUCUUGCUAUUCAUUCAUCUGAGAAGGUAAGGAAGGCAGUGGUUAGUGGUGUAAAAGGGCUUUUGUCUAGUUGCAGUUCUACAUUAAAAAGAACCAAGAUGCUACUUUUGGAAUGUUUAUGUGUUCUGGCAUGUGAUGAUGCUGCAGCUGUGUCUGAGGCUACACAAGAUGCUCUUGAUCAUCUUUUCAACCAAGGCCACAAUCUCGUAACAGAAAAUGAGAUUUCUGAUACCUUUACUAGGCUGGUUGAAAGGCUACCACAAGUGGUACUUGGAAGCGAGGAGACAACCACACUUUCACAUGCUAGGAUGUUGUUGGCUUUGACCUUUUAUGUUGGUCCCUAGUUUCUGAUAAAUCAUCUUCACCGUUCUCCUGUCAUUGCUGCUCGUUUCUUUGAUUGUUUGGGUUUAUGCAUAGGUCAUAGCUCACAGUUUUCUGGUUCCAUGGACAAGCUAAUUGUAUCAAAGCCACUAUCUAUUGGGUAUCUUUAUUCAGUUGCUGAGUUGAACAGUGGCGCCUAUUCUAAAGAUACAACUAACAUAUCUCUGCAUGCCACGUCAACAUCUGCAGCCUCCAAAAUAUCUGUUAUC